rnacentral:rRNA from 1 species
GACGAACGCUGGCGGCGUGCCUAAUACAUGCAAGUCGAACGCACAGUUUAUACCGUAGCUUGCUACACCAUAGACUGUGAGUUGCGAACGGGUGAGUAACGCGUAGGUAACCUGCCUGGUAGCGGGGGAUAACUAUUGGAAACGAUAGCUAAUACCGCAUAAUAUUGAUUAUUGCAUGAUAAUUGAUUGAAAGAUGCUAUUGCAUCACUACCAGAUGGACCUGCGUUGUAUUAGCUAGUAGGUGAGGUAACGGCUCACCUAGGCGACGAUACAUAGCCGACCUGAGAGGGUGAUCGGCCACACUGGGACUGAGACACGGCCCAGACUCCUACGGGAGGCAGCAGUAGGGAAUCUUCGGCAAUGGACGAAAGUCUGACCGAGCAACGCCGCGUGAGUGAAGAAGGUUUUCGGAUCGUAAAGCUCUGUUGUAAGAGAAGAACGGGUGUGAGAGUGGAAAGUUCACACUGUGACGGUAUCUUACCAGAAAGAGACGGCUAACUACGUG